rnacentral:tRNA from 1 species
GCCUGGGUGGCUCAGUCGGUUGAGCAUCCGACUUUGGCUCAGGUCAUGAUCUCACGGUUCGUGGGUUCAAGCCCCAUAUCGGGCU